rnacentral:tRNA from 1 species
GCCUGGGUGGCUCAGUGGGUUGAGCGUCCGACUUUGGCUCAGGUCAUGAUCUCGUGGUCCGUGGGUUCGAGCCCCGCGUCGGGCU